AGAGUUUGAUCCUGGCUCAGAAUCAACGCUGGCGGCGUGCCUAACACAUGCAAGUCGAACGGGAAAGUGGAGCAAUCCAUGAGUAUAGUGGCGACCGGGUGAGUAACACGUGACUACCUGCCCUUGAGUGGGGGAUAACCUCGGGAAACCGAGGCUAAUACCGCAUAACAUCGCAAGAUCAAAGGAGCAAUCCGCUUUUGGAGGGGGUCGCGGCUGAUUAGCUAGUUGGUAAGGUAAUGGCUUACCAAGGCGAAGAUCGGUAUCCGGCCUGAGAGGGCGCACGGACACACUGGAACUGAAACACGGUCCAGACUCCUACGGGAGGCAGCAGUGGGGAAUUUUGCGCAAUGGGGGAAACCCUGACGCAGCAACGCCGCGUGGAGGAUGAAGCCCCUUGGGGCG
rnacentral:rRNA from 1 species